rnacentral:rRNA from 1 species
UACAGAGGUCUCAAGCGUUGUUCGGAUUCAUUGGGCGUAAAGGGUGCGUAGGUGGCGCCGUAAGUCAGGUGUGAAACCUCUGGGCUUAACCCAGAGCCUGCACGCGAAACUGCCGUGCUAGAGUGUGGGAGAGGUGCGUGGAAUUCCCGGUGUAGCGGUGAAAUGCGUAGAUAUUGGGAGGAACACCAGUGGCGAAGGCGGCUCACUGGACCGGUUCUGACGCUGAGGCGCGAAAGCGUGGGGAGCAAACGGG